rnacentral:lncRNA from 1 species
CUCUUUCUUGCUUUGCCUCAUAAUUUUGGACUUACCUAGUAGCUUCUUCUUCUUUUUUUUUUUUUUCCUUUUUCACAUCAGAUGGGAAAUGUGCCAACGUCACAACAAGGUUUGAGGGAGGCACAUCUCAUGCUCGGACAUGAACACCCGAUCAUCAUGCUUAUGAACUACAAAAGGAUCUCCAGUAUGGGCUCACGGCAGGUAAUUGUUUUGAGACUUAUGUCUGAAAUGUUUGUAUCCCACCCAAAUAUUUAAUUGUUAACUUUGAUAGGUGUAGAAUUCUAGGCUAGAAAUAAUUUUUUUCUACAGAAUUCUAAAGUCAUUGUUACAUUAUCUUUUUGCUUCUACUGGGGCUGUUGAGAAAUUCACAGUCAUUUUGGUAUUUUGAGCAAUGAUUUUUACCUUUUUCUGAAAAGUUUUAAAAUUCCCUCUUUUAUGUCUAUUGUUCUGAAAGUUUAAGAUGAUGGAACUUAGUGUGAGUUUAUUUUUAUCUAUUGUACUGAAUAUUUACUGUACCUUUUAAGUCUAGAAACUCAUGCCCUUCAGUACUGAUAAAUUUCUUGGAUUAUUUCUUGUGUCUUUUUUCUUCUAUUUUUCAAGUUCUUUUUCUGAAAUUUUAGUUACUCAGUUGAUGAACUCCUAGAAUGAUUUUCUAUAUUUCUUAUCUUUUAUAUCAUAUCUUCCAUCUUUUUGAUUUUUCAUUCUACUUUCUAAGAGAUUUCCCUAAAUUUAUCUUCUAACUAUUUGACUGAAAUUUUCAUUCUGGCUGUCAAAUUUGAAUUUAUAAUUACUAUCUUGUUUUACAAUUGUUUUCCUUUUGCCAGAAUAUUGUUUUUAUUUAAUAAAUUACAAUAACUUCUCCUAUUUGUCUGAGGAUGUUGAUGAUAGUUUCCUUUUGAAGUUUUUAUUUUCCUGCAGAGUUUUCUAUAAGUUGCUUUUUUUUCCCCCAUAAUAUUUUGGCCUUUACAGUUGGCCCUUGAAUAACAUGAAUUUGAACUGCCUGAGUCUGCUAAUAUGUGGAUUAUCUUCUGCUUCUGCACCCUGAGACAGCAAGACCAACCCUUCCUCUUGCUUCUUUUCCUUAGCCUAUUCAACGUGAAGAUGACUAAGGUCUGUUCCACAUUAUCUUCACUCUAGGACCCAAGCUGAUAAAGCAGCUCCCUCUGGAGCUAUUGAUGGUCUCAUGGAAGAGACAAAAAAAGAUCACAGUGAAUCACAUUCUGCUUCUGAACUCUUCUGCCUGGAAGUGACAAACAUCAUUUCCAUCACAUUUCACUGACCAAAGCAAGUCAUGAGUGUAAGCCUAGUAUCAGUGGGGUGGGGAAGGAGAAGCAAAUUAUUGGAAACCACAGGAGGUUAUUGCAAUAAUAAGGCAAAAAUGAAGCCAGUGGCUGGGUGCAGUGGCUCAUGCCUGUAAUCUUAGCACUUUGGGAGGCCAAGGCAGGUGGAUCACUUGAGCUUAGGAGUUCAAGACCAGCCUGGGCAACAUGGUGAAACCCUGUCUCUACAAAAAAUAAAAAAAAAAUUAGCCAGGCAUGGUGGCAUACACCUGUAGUCCCAGCUACUUGCGGGGCUGAGGCAGGAGCAUCACUUGAACCCAGGAGCUCAAGGCUGCAGUGAGCUGUGAUCUUACCACUGCACUCUAGCCUGGGUGACAGAGUAAGACCUUGUCUCAAUAAAAAAUAAUGAAGCUGGCUUGGUCUAGAGUGGAAACAGUUGAGGUGGUAAAAGGACUUGCUGCUUGAAUAAAUGUGGGGUAUGAGAAACGGAAGAGUUAAGACGGACUCCAGGGUUUUGGUCUGAACACCUUGGUGAAGGAUUUGUACCACUUGCUGAGUUGUAGAAGUCUGAGGGAGGUGCAGGGUUAAGGGGAAAAAUUAGGAAUUCCAUUUUGGACAUUUCUAAUAAGGGAAACAAUGGAUUUAAAGAUAAAAUGUGGGAGUCCUCAGCAUGUAGACUGACUUUGAAGCCAUGGACUGGAUGAGAUCACAUGGAGAAUGAGAGCAGAGAGAGGAAACAAGAAGGCUGAAAGUGAGCCUGGGGUCUGUCAGUCUAUAUAGGUCAGGAGGAAGAGGGGAAUCCAGAGAGGGAGAGAUGGAAGAGACAGAUUGGGAAGAGGGGAAAAAAGAAUGUGGGACUGCCUAGAAACCCAGUAAAAAAAAAGUGUUUCAUGAAAAGAAGGAUCAACAGUGUCAGUUGCUGCUAUUAAGUAAGAUGAGGAUUAAAAUCCAUUGUUGGACUUGGUCAGAUGCAGGCACUAGUGACCUUGACAGGCCAUUGGUGACUUUGUUACAUGGUGGGGGUAAAAGUCUGAUUGAAAUGGGUUGAGAAGAGCCCGAAUGUUCUUCUGAUUCCAAAGUCAAUGCCUACCUUGUUUUGCUAAGCUGCAUAGAAAGUUCUCGUGUGCAGGAUGCAGUCACUGAAAAUGUUGUAGAACUGAAGAAUUUGUACCUCAUUCUUGGAACCACUCAACCUGGAAGAACAACUCCCUACAAACGUGAAGGCAACUACCUGAGCAUAACUGGUUCACUGCCUUUUCUUCUGGGAGUGUGUUGAGUAAAAUUUGAACAGAAAUAUCUGUUUUUCCAUCCAGGCUCUAGGCAAAGUCUCCUUCAAUGAUGGGGCAUGGUACAAAUUUGUUAGCUCCCUUAACUAUGAAGACACAAGAAAAGGUUGGAAAUUAGGAUUAGGAAAAAUAGAAGCUUAUUGUUUACUGCCCAGCUUCAAGUACGGGAAAUAAAACCUUUUUCCAAGAGCAAUACAUUGGAUUAAAUGAAGUAAUUUUACUUCAGAAUGAUACUCCAAGGGGCUUUCCCAAGUAGUAAAACAGACAGCAAAAGCUCUGAAAUAAAGUGAGAGAAAGGUGGGAAAUGGAAAAGAAAAUAAACAUGCAUCUAUUACUGGGUGCAUUUUUGUUUGGCCUGUAGGGCAUUCCUGCUGACAGCCAUUUCUGGCUGUGUAUGAGAUAUGCCAUGGAGACAUGGGAGGACCAGAUGGCACUUCUGAGCCUCACCCUCAGGUACUGAUUGUAUCCAAAAUAAGCCAGGUUGGUAAGGCCAGGAAAACAAGACUUGGGGGAUAUUUUCUAUAAACUGGAAAGACUUCCAACAUCUUUCAAAGAUGGUUAUGGUUCUUGUCUCAUAAUCCUGUGCUCCCAGGCAAUCGCAGUAUUCCAAAUAUUUAAUAACAAGUAAAGAAAAGGGCUUGAGUAAUUG